UACGGAGGGGGCUAGCGUUAUUCGGAAUUACUGGGCGUAAAGCGCACGUAGGCGGAUCUGUAAGUCAGAGGUGAAAUCCCGGGGCUCAACCCUGGAACUGCCUUUGAAACUCCAGGUCUUGAGUUCGGGAGAGGUGAGUGGAAUUCCGAGUGUAGAGGUGAAAUUCGUAGAUAUUGGGAGGAACACCAGUGGCGAAGGCGGCUCACUGGCUCGAUACUGACGCUGAGGUGCGAAAGCGUGGGGAGCAAACAGG
rnacentral:rRNA from 1 species